AUGGAAAGUGCGGCAUUGCACGAAGUAGAAAGGUGUGGGCCUGGAAGAAACUACCCAGUAGCAAAGGGCAGACACUGAAGAGGGCACUGCCCCCACUGGCCUCAGGAAACGGGAGGCGCAGCAGCAGGAGAAGGUCAACUGGGAGCUGAGAGCACGAGAGGACUGAGAAUUGGCAAAUUACAAUCUCCAGGAAGGCAAAGAGAAAAAAGAAACAGAGCAGCAGGGAAGAGAAAGGGCAGAUGUAAUUGGUCCAUACGCAACAGUUAGAAGACUGAGGCUGGCAGAGUGGAUUACAAACACCCACCACUCCGUGCUGUCCACAGACAACUCCCUUCAGACAGGGCACAGGCGGGCUAAAAGUCAAAGGAUGAAAAACGGCACGUUACACCGACAGGAGUGAAAAAGAAAGAGCUGGAAUGCCUUUGUUACUGUCAAAACUUCAGAGCAAAGACAAUUACUUGGGUCCAGGGUCCUAAUGACAGAUCAGUCCAACGAGAAGACACGGUGAUCCUAAAUGUGCAUGCGUGGAGUAUGUCCCGUUAGGACAGGGGUGAGGAACAGGCUGCGGCUGCCCACACUUGUAAGCGCCCCACAUUUCUGCACGCGUAGCUAACGUUAGAGAGAGUCUUUCUAUACACUCACAUCCUAUGUAGUAAACACAGUGAGCUUCGGCUGGGAAAAGCGGCUGCUCCGGCCGAGGAAAUCCUGGUCGUGAAUGAAAAUGCAUCUCUGUGGGCCCUCACAGCUCCACCAGGGCAGGGCUAAGCCUCUCCGGCUGGCCUGGCAUAUAUGCUCCGAGACAUCACACACUUGGAUAUGGCCUGGGCUGACAUAAGUUCCAUAAGCACCUGAAGGCUGGUGCACGAGGGUCUCUGGCUAAGCCACUGCACGCUUAGGCUGUGCCCUUCCUUCCUGGCCUAUGGUCUCACCUGCUGUCCCUCCUCUCCGUGGUGGAGACACCCACACACCUUCGUCUAAGCAGACCAGCAGUUGACUUGGAUCGGAAACGGCUUGUGCCCAAGCAGGCCCAGCAACACACGUGGUCCUUCUUCAGUUGGUUCAAUCCAAUGCUUUAGAGAAACACGGGAUUUUAGCAUUAUUAAAAGAUGUGGAUAUAGCAAGGAAUGGAAUACAACAACUUCAGACUUUGGUGGGUGGAGGCGGAAUACGUAAACCUCUGACAGCCAUGAGGAGACCGAGCCCUGGCUCUCUUGUGGGACCUGCUGACCCCAGCAGAGCCCUGCAGACAAUCCACAGAUACACGGUGGUCACUUCCAUCCAGGGAGUUCUGGCAGGGUUUGUUAUGUGGCAACAGCAAGUCAAUACCUCAUCCUAGUUCUUCCCAGGGCAGUGCUGUGCACAGAGAAGACACAAAAUAUACUUCGAGUUAAUACACAUUUACCGAGUAUCUGCUAAUUUGCAGAUGGCGUGCUAAGGACAAGGGAGAGGCUGGUGAUCCAGAUGGCAUAAUUCCUGCCCUCAGGGAGCACAGUUAAUCAUACUUUGAUGAGUUCUAUGAAGGAAAUUCUCAGCAACACAGGAUGACGGGUGAGUUAAAUGCUAUGGUGUUAGGACAGAAAGGGAAAUAGGCAGUGUAGAAUAGAGACCCUAGAGACCCCAGGUGGAGAUCCAUGCACACGUGGGAAGUCUGCAAGUAACAGAAGCAGCACUGCAGACCAGUGGAGAGACAGUGAACUCACUGGUGAUACUGGAAAAAGAAACUUUCCACAUGGCAUAAAGUAAAACUGGGUUCCUGCCUAAGCACGCACACCACACACACGAUUAGGCCCAGCUGGAUUAAAAGCGUGUGUGUGUGUGUGUGCGUGUGCACGCACACACACACACACACGCACACAUACACACACACUAUUAACUUUAUGACCCUGGAGUAGGGAAAGGCUUCUUAAGCAAGUCCAAGACACUCAACAAAGGAGAAGAUUGAUAGAUUUUACUACACAAUAAUUAAACACCGUAAAAGAUACUAUUCUAAAUAAAGAGUUAAGACAAAUGGUAGAUUGAAAGAAAAUAUUUGUAACAUAUAUGACAAAGGAUUAAUAGCCUUAACAGAUCAAGAAUAUUAAUUCCAUCAGAAAAAGAGUAAAAAUGGGAAGACGACAUGAAAAGGCAAUGCACAGAGGAGGAAGGCAGCAACAUGUUAAUCAGUCCCCCAUCCACUCGGUGCCUGGCACAGGAGGGGCCCCGCCUCCCGCCAGCCUCUUCCUAGUGCAGACAUCACUGCUGCCUAAGGAUGAGUCCAUCACCAUGAAGACCCAACGUUAGCUCCAAACAGCUUCAUGGACACAGCUUUGGAGAGAGUGCCAUUUUAACAAAAUCAAAGUCCUGAUACAGGAACAUGUAUUUUUGCAGUACAUCUUGGCAGUCACAGUAAUGGCUGUCUCCGCAUGAGCAUCUGAUGUUAAUGCUCACUCUGAACCACUAAAACACAAAGGGUGAGCCCCGUGUGCCACAGCCAGCCCCCACGUAGGUGAGAAGGCUUUAGGAUCCAAUCAUAUAUGAGGCCCGUGUUUCUUUCUCAUGCACUUAUGGGAACAGACAAAAAACUAUGUUUAGAAAAGAUGCAUUAUUGAAGAAAUUUUAAUUUAAAAAAAAUCAAAAGAAAAAUUGAACAGUG
rnacentral:lncRNA from 1 species